UUAUGUAAAUAUUCAAAAACAUUUAACCUACCAAUGCCUCCGUUAAUGUAAUUUUAUUGGUAUCUAUUUUUAUUUCUGAAAUUUACCACCCUCGGCUUAUACUUGAGUCAAUGUUUUCCCAGUUUUCUUGUGGUAAAAUUAGGCGCCUCGGCUUAUAUUCAGGUUGGCUUAUACUUGAGUAUAUACGGUAUAUUAAUUUUAGGCCUGUGCUGGUGUUGGCGGCUGCUUUUUCAGGAUCAUGGCAUUGGCUGCGAUGCCUGGAGAACUGCACCGGAAGGUAGUCCAGGCGGCACUGAUGUGGCUCAUGGCAAAUUCUGUGCUGGCGCCAUGCCCCUCGAGGUGGGUCCCGUACAGGGAGGAACUUUGCCUCUUCCUCCCGCCUGCGCCUGCUCUUUCAUGGGAUGAAGCCAGGGUCUUCUGCCAGGACCAGAGGGCACAGCUUGUUGUCAUCAAGGACCACAAUAAGCAGGUAAAUGGUGACUCUUCCUUCCAGCUAUCUCAUACUGGGACAUAUUGCCUAUCUGAGGGUUGACAUCUGGCCUGACUGAGACCGCCUCCUGCAGCCCCUCUUUUCCCUUUUGGCACCAAAACCCCAACCUGUGCAUGAUUCGUCCUUCCAAAUCAUGUGCUGAUUAUUACCUGCUUGGCAGGCUCCCAGGUUGUCCCUUCGUUCUUCCCAUGCCUUUCCCCCUCCCAACCACAUUCCCUAUAUCAGGGGUCCCCAAACUAAGGCCCGGGGGCCAGAUGCGGCCCAUCAAAGCUAUUUAUCCGGCCCCCACGGCACAAGGGGGUUGGGCUAAAUGACCCAAGGGGUCUCUUUUUCUCUUACAACCAUUAUUAUUAUUAUUAUUAAACAUUGAGGCUGGGUGGCCAUCUGUCAGGGAUGCUUUGCUUGUGCUUUUGGUGCACAAAGGCAGAAGGAGUUGGAUUAAAUGGCCCAAGGGGUCUCUUCCAACCCUCUUUAUUAUUAUUACUAUUAUUAUUAUUAUGACACAGCAAACAAGAUAGAUAUGCUGGAUUUCAUAUCACAAAAUCACAAGUCGAACACUUCCCAAGUGUCUAGGACUGUGUGAUGUAUUUUCGGAUGAUGCGCGCAGAUCCCGGCAGGGUGGCCUUUUGCAGCUGGCAGAUCGUAAUUUUGUCAAUGUCUAUUGUUUCCAAAUGCCGGCUGAGAUCUUUUGGCACGGCACCCAAUGUGCCCAUCACCAUCGGGACCAUUAUUAUUAUUAUUAUUAUUAUUAACAUUGAGGCUGGGUGGCCAUCUGUCAGGGGUGCUUUGCUUGUGCUUUUGGCGCACAAAGGCUGUCACAGACAGAACGCCAGCGAGUAAAACAAAACUCAGUUUAUUGAGGUUACAGAACUAAAAACACACGUAGGAAACAAAGAACAGGGCAAACACUUGACUUCAGUGUGAUAAGUAACAAAAAACAGCUCAGUUUGAGCUUAAACGGUUCAAAGGGAUAAACCGGGUUAAACAGAAGUAUAAUCCUGAUUAAAUCAAAGGUGCUUACUUCAGCCUGGCAAACAAUGCAAACAAAAGAGGAUCAACAGGAGUCAGAAUGUAAACAACAGACUGGUAGCAGAUUCCUCUCUGCUACUCAGAAACAGCAGGAGAAUAAACCAGGCUUGUUUAUUCCUUCCUGCAGCGAACGAAAAGCGUGGUCGUAGUCAGGAUUCAGUUUAAGGUUCAGCGGCCAACGAUAUCCAGGUCCAGGCACAGCAGUCAGGGUAACGGCAGUCAGCAGGGUCCCAAUCCGGUCCAGAGGUCAAUAGCCAAGCGUAGUCGUCUAGGAAAUCCAAAGGUCUCACCGAUAGCCAGCAGAAGGGAUAAUCCGGAAUCGAAGUCAGUCAGUCCAGCGUCAAUCCAGUGCGAGUAGAUAUUGCCCGUCAAAAAGACGACGGAGGUCCAAGGUGUCCAGUAACGAAUCACACCCGUCUUCAGGAAGUUCCCCAACAAAAGCCCAAGCGUCCGUCCAGAUUACCUUGCCCAACGCAAUUAGACAUUGGUCCCAAACCCCAAUUUAUCCCAGUUCAAGCUCAUCAUCGCUGUCAGCUGCCAUCCCAAUUCCAGGUGCCCCAACAUCAUCAUCCACAUCAGAGCUUAAGCACCUUUGACUACGCCCCACAGCAUCCCCAGCUGUGGAUCCCGCUCCAUCCCUCCAGCCAGUCCAUGGGUCUGAUCCUGCAACCCGCCAAUCACCUCCCAUGCUUUCAUUGCCUGUUUCCCCAACACCCAAAUCCUCCUUCACACGAGUCCAUUCCAUGUCGUCCUCCUCCGAGCUGGCCAUCUCUUCCUCCAAACCCUCAGAAAAACCCUCAAAUGAGUCCUCAUCUGUCGGGUCUGUAAACAAAUCCCGGAGCCGUUUUCUUUCACGCUCCUCGAAAGAGUCUGACUCUCGAGGAGUCUUAUGACCCCUUCUUCUAUUACCGGAGCCCGAAGGCUCAACCAUAACAAAGGCAGAAGGGGAUUGGACUCAAUGGCCCAAAGGGUCUCGUCCAACCCUCUUUAUUGUUGUUGUUGUUGUUGUUGUUGUUAUUAAUUGGCUCGGUGGCCAACUAUAGUCCGGCCCUCCAACGGUCCGAAGGAUCGUGAACCGGCCUCCUAUUUAAAAAGUUUGGGGACCCCUGCCCUAUAUGUUUCCUGGCCCUUGCCGAGAACAAGUCUGAGAAACAGUCCUGUCAGAUGCUUAUUUGGGGCUUGGAGGAAGCCCUUCCGCAUGUCUGAAGCUGCUCUUCCGAUGCCUUGGAGCAGAUGUUCCUGACGGACCUCAUCGCCAGACUCGGG
ensembl:lncRNA